AUUGAACGCUGGCGGCAUGCCUUACACAUGCAAGUCGAACGGCAGCACGGGUGCUUGCACCUGGUGGCGAGUGGCGAACGGGUGAGUAAUACAUCGGAACAUGUCCUGUAGUGGGGGAUAGCCCGGCGAAAGCCGGAUUAAUACCGCAUACGAUCUACGGAUGAAAGCGGGGGACCUUCGGGCCUCGCGCUAUAGGGUUGGCCGAUGGCUGAUUAGCUAGUUGGUGGGGUAAAGGCCUACCAAGGCGACGAUCAGUAGCUGGUCUGAGAGGACGACCAGCCACACUGGGACUGAGACACGGCCCAGACUCCUACGGGAGGCAGCAGUGGGGAAUUUUGGACAAUGGGCGAAAGCCUGAUCCAGCAAUGCCGCGUGUGUGAAGAAGGCCUUCUGGUUGUAAAGCACUUUUGUCCGGAAAGAAAUCCUUGGCCCUAAUACGGUCGGGGGAUGACGGUACCGGAAGAAUAAGCACCGGCUAACUACGUG
rnacentral:rRNA from 1 species